AGCGGCGGACGGGUGAGUAACGCGUGGGUAACCUGCCCUGUACACACGGAUAACAUACCGAAAGGUAUGCUAAUACGAGAUAAUAUGCUUUUAUCGCAUGGUAGAAGUAUCAAAGCUUUUGCGGUACAGGAUGGACCCGCGUCUGAUUAGCUAGUUGGUAAGGUUACGGCUUACCAAGGCGACGAUCAGUAGCCGACCUGAGAGGGUGAUCGGCCACAUUGGAACUGAGACACGGUCCAAACUCCUACGGGAGGCAGCAGUGGGGAAUAUUGCACAAUGGGCGAAAGCCUGAUGCAGCAACGCCGCGUGAGCGAUGAAGGCCUUCGGGUCGUAAAGCUCUGUCCUCAAGGAAGAUAAUGACGGUACUUGAGGAGGAAGCCCCGGCUAACUACGUGCCAGCAGCCGCGGUAAUACGUAGGGGGCUAGCGUUAUCCGGAAUUACUGGGCGUAAAGGGUGCGUAGGUGGUAUCUUAAGUCAGAGGUGAAAGGCUACGGCUCAACCGUAGUAAGCCUUUGAAACUGGGAAACUUGAGUGCAGGAGAGGAGAGUGGAAUUCCUAGUGUAGCGGUGAAAUGCGUAGAUAUUAGGAGGAACACCAGUUGCGAAGGCGGCUCUCUGGACUGUAACUGACACUGAGGCACGAAAGCGUGGGGAGCAAACAGGAUUAGAUACCCUGGUAGUCCACGCCGUAAACGAUGAGUACUAGCUGU
rnacentral:rRNA from 1 species